AACGCAUCUUGCGCCCCUUGGUAUUCCGAGGAGCAUGCCUGUUUCAGUGUCACGUAAACCCUCACGCUUUGCGAUGUUACAAUUGCAAUUCGUGGAUUUGGACUGUGCCGUAGUUGGCUCGUCCUGAAAUGCAUUAGCUUGCGCUUAUUAGAGUGCUUGGCAUUGGUGUGAUAAUUAUCUGCGCCGUCGCCUUAUGCCUCUUCGGAAGUGCUGCUUCUAAUCGUCCGAAUGGACAACAUUUUAAACUUUGGCCUGAAAUCAGGUAGGACUACCCGCUGAACUUAA
rnacentral:misc_RNA from 1 species